AGCGAACGCUGGCGGCAGGCCUAACACAUGCAAGUCGAGCGAACCUUUCGGGGUUAGUGGCGGACGGGUGAGUAACACGUGGGAACGUGCCUUUAGGUUCGGAAUAACUCAGGGAAACUUGUGCUAAUACCGAAUGUGCCCUUCGGGGGAAAGAUUUAUCGCCUUUAGAGCGGCCCGCGUCUGAUUAGCUAGUUGGUUGAGGUAAUGGCUCACCAAGGCGACGAUCAGUAGCUGGUCUGAGAGGAUGAUCAGACACAUUGGGACUGAGACACGGCCCAAACUCCUACGGGAGGCAGCAGUGGGGAAUCUUGCGCAAUGGGCGAAAGCCUGACGCAGCCAUGCCGCGUGAAUGAUGAAGGUCUUAGGAUUGUAAAAUUCUUUAACCGGGGACGAUAAUGACGGUACCCGGAGAAGAAGCCCCGGCUAACUUCGUG
rnacentral:rRNA from 1 species